GAUGGCAAAAUUUCUAAGCCUCAAAAAUAAACUUUCAUGCAAACUAUAAACAUUUAAUAAGAAUAUAGUCCUAUGUGUAUCUACGAUCAUCUAAGGCAAUGCAAAACAUGAGUGAACCUUUCCAGGGAGAUAAUUUGACCAACAGGAGACUACUUAUCUCCCCUUCAUAUCUGUGACUUUGUUCAGGGGGAGAUAACUACUGAGAAUUAAUCUAAUUUUAUAUUUGAACACAAACCAGCUGCAUUCCUUCUCAUUAAUACUUUAUAAAUUAUAAAAAAAAUAUUAAAUAACUAUAUUUUGAAAUAUGUCUUAAAUAAUUCUGUAUUAGUUUUCUAAUCAACCCCCAG
rnacentral:lncRNA from 1 species